CUCGACAAAGUGAAAAAUAAAUUUAACUCAAAUACAAUUGUCGACAUUUAGAUAAGAAAUCAUACGAACCUCGACAUUAAUGAGAGAGAGAGAGAGAGAUCUUAACCGAGCCACCUCUGAUAAGAUUGGAUCCCACUCCGCAGUAGAAUUUCUUCACAGUCCCACCAAUUUGUAUGCAUAUAUAUAUAUAACCCCUUUCCACCUCGUUGCAAUCUCUCCUUCAUCUCUACUCUCUAGCUGGAAUUUCCUGCUCCCAUUCAGUAAUGUGAUCUGAAGCUAAGUGUGAAAUUUUAGUGUGAGAGUGUGAAAUCAAGGGGUGAUGGAGGGUUUUGAGAAACGACAAAUAAACCUUGGGUUUUGAGAAAUUCAUGAAAACUUGCCCCAGAAUUUAGCUGAAAGUGAGGGCUCUCUUGUUUCUAGCAAAGUUUGCAUCUUUUGAGGUACACACUGACGCCCAGUAAUUUUUGUUAUUCUUUUCUGUUUGUUUUUGAUUCAUUUGGUGCAAUUGAUCCAAAUGGGUUUUGCGUUUUUGGUUUUGGGAGUGAUUUGAACUGAAUUCACUUCACCUUCAAUUCAGUGAUUUUUAUUUUCAGUAACUGGAAUCUUAGUUGUGUUUUUCAGAUAUACUCCUUAACUUAUCACUUAUAUUGGUUUCUUGAUUUGGAUUCUGUAUUUCCCAUUUCUAGUUUUAGUUCAAGUCACAUGUACACUGCAAAGCUUCCUCUUUUAGAUUUGAUAUCUAUGUAUUCUCCACAAAUCACGCCAUGUAUCUGCAUCUAUGUGUUUUCCAUAAAUCACGGCGUGUGCUAUAUAUAUUGAUGUUAGAGGAUCUAGUAUCAGAUUUGGAAAUAGGGGAUUCCAAAUUCACCUAGUUUCUUUAUAAUAUCAGUUUGCCCUCCCUUUUCUUUUCUUUUUUCCUUCUUUUUUUCUGUUUUGAUUGGUAUUGAUUCUUUAUCUGUUGUGUGAUCAUUCCUUUCUGGAGUUGUUUAGGUAGUGAGUAAGAUGUCGAGGCCUCUUCACAGGGGUGUAUUGAGUGGCGGUGGGCGAGUCUCGGGGAAUAGUCAUGAUUAUUGGGAGGAUUCUCAGAAGAAAGAUAGGUUGGAGAAGGAAGAUGUGAAAAUUCAGCCAAAUGGAGCUGAUGCCACACACCAUUUGUCUUUGAAAAACCCUUUUCGCUUUCUUUUCACGAAUAAUCAUCCGUCUUCGACUCACAAUUUGGGGGAGCACGGCUUUGUAUCGGACCCCUUCAGUCCAGGGGUUGUUAGGAGUUGGCAGAAAGUGAUACUCUCCUUUAUCAAAUUCAGUUUAGUAGNUAUUUGAGAAAUAUAAGGAAAGGAUAAUUUUAGUAAAACCAUAAAUUAGCAAAAAACCGGUUCAAUCAAAAAUCCACAUAAAAACCGGUUAAAACCUAGGUGUCUAGACACCUUGGUGUCUAAAAAUCACUACUCCUAUGGAAAUUGUACAAUUUUCUAUUGCCUCCGCCACUUUGGGCGAUCUCGUAAUCAUAUAAAUUUCGAUGUUACGUAUCAUUAUCCAAAAUAUUACCAGCUAUUUUUGAAUGUUAGGAAAACUGAUUGUGACUAUUUUGGACGUGUUCACAUUUAUUAAGGUUGGUGAAUAUGCCCACUCAACCUAAUACUUCCAAGUAUGACCAUUACGUCGAGGAUUUAAAAGCAAUUUGUAGUUGUAAUUAUAUACAUACAUACAUACAAAACAUAGUAAUUCUUUUAAAAAUAAAAUAAAUUUAUAUAUGUAUAUACAAACAUAUGCUAGCUUGGCGUUUGCCUUGAUUGUUUGACUCGUAAAAAGAUAGACGUUUUAUAUAGUUUGGUUCAAAUCCAACUUUUACUUUUAAGUCCAGAUAAUCAUGCCCAUUACACUAUAUCAAAAUAGUUAAAUUAAUGAUAAUUAUAAACCCGAAUAUACAAUGUCUUUCACAUAAAUUGGGAAAGAAUCAGUCCAAACAGUUGGACUUUCAACUUGCGCAGAAUAUUGCGCAAAAAAAUUUGACCUUGAAUUUAUAUGGCGUGAUUAGGAUUUUAACCAUAUUAUUCAUUUGUUAAGUAAAAAAAACUUAUUAGUAGCUAGAGUUUUAGAUUUAAUUUCCUCGAGAUUUGGUCUCUGUUUGACUAUCUGAUUAGUCUUAAUUAACCAUUAAUGACAACGUUUUUUACAAUAAUUUCAUAUAAAUUUUACAAUAUCGAAAUCGAAAUGCUAUAUUAUAUACUAUGUAAUAAUUUAAAAAUUAAUCUUUUCUAUAAAAUUAUAUUUCGAGAAUCAAUAUGCCACCGAAACCAGGCGGGCCACUACAAAUUGACAACUCCCUGCAAUUCCUUAUCCAGCCAAACAAUUAACUUUAUUUAAUAUCUAAAAUCCAAAAUAUGAUUAAAAAAAUAUAUAUGACAUAAAGAUGUGCAUUGUAUGUAUACAUUUUUAUUCUCCUGAAUUUUCAUUUUGUUUUAUCAUUCUAGUCUAUGUAUAUUACAUAAAUAUAUUAAUUAACUUAAGAAAUACCUAUACGAAAUAAUAAUUCUUUAGGGAGAAUCGAACAUCUUUUAUUAUUACCCCACCCCAUGAAUUAAGACUUGUGUUAAUGUGAUUGAACUCUACUUAUUAAUGCUCACAAUUAUAGUUACAUUGUUAAUAAUGAGCACUUUAUAAUUCCAUCAUGUUCCAACUGAAAAAAAAAACAAUCAUAUUGAUCGCACGCCGUAUUUAAUUUUGAAGGCUUACUUACAUUUGUUCUUCUUUUGAAAAAAAGUCUAUAUUUUUAAAAUUUACUCUUCUAUAAUAGUCCAAUUAAAAUUUCUUUCAAUUCGAUGGAGAAAAGAAAACCUCAAACUAACUUGUAAACUAUCAAAAAAAUAUAAAAAAAUAUUCACACAAUCUAAUUUUAUAAUAAAAUCACUUCUAGAGAAGUCGGUUCGCUAAAUAUAAAUGCAUAUACAAGUGAAUUUACUCUUCUAUAAAUAAACAAAACUAGAUGAAUAUUAAAGAACCAAAAUAUUCGGAUUGUACUUUCAUUCGAUUCAAUUAAAAAUGAUAAAAGCUCGACAAAGUGAAAAAUAAAUUUAACUCAAAUACAAUUGUCGACAUUUAGAUAAGAAAUCAUACGAACCUCGACAUUAAUGAGAGAGAGAGAGAGAGAUCUUAACCGAGCCACCUCUGAUAAGAUUGGAUCCCACUCCGCAGUAGAAUUUCUUCACAGUCCCACCAAUUUGUAUGCAUAUAUAUAUAACCCCUUUCCACCUCGUUGCAAUCUCUCCUUCAUCUCUGCUCUCUAGCUGGAAUUUCCUGCUCCCAUUCAGUAAUGUGAUCUGAAGCUAAGUGUGAAAUUUUAGUGUGAGAGUGUGAAAUCAAGGGGUGAUGGAGGGUUUUGAGAAACGACAAAUAAACCUUGGGUUAUGAGAAAUUCAUGAAAACUUGCCCCAGAAUUUAGCUGAAAGUGAGGGCUCUCUUGUUUCUAGCAAAGUUUGCAUCUUUUGAGGUACACACUGACGCCCAGAAUUUUUGUUGUUCUUUUCUGUUUGUUUUUGAUUCAUUUGGU
rnacentral:lncRNA from 1 species